rnacentral:misc_RNA from 1 species
GCAACGAAUCAAAACUUUCAACAACGGAUCUCUUGGUUCUGGCAUCGAUGAAGAACGCAGCGAAAUGCGAUAAGUAGUGUGAAUUGCAGAAUUCAGUGAAUCAUCGAAUCUUUGAACGCACAUUGCGCCCCUUGGUAUCCCGAGGGGCAUGCCUGUUCGAGCGUCAUUUCACCACUCAAGCCUGGCUUGGUGUUGGGCGACGUCCCCCUUUAGGGACGCGCCUCGAAACGCUCGGCGGCGUGGCACCGGCUUUAAGCGUAGCAGAAUCUUUCGCUUUGAAAGUCGGGGCCCCGUCUGCCGGAUUACCUACUCACAAGGUUGACCUCGGAUCAGGUAGGGAUACCCGCUGAACUUAAGCAUAUCAA